GAUGAACGCUGGCGGCGUGCCUAAUACAUGCAAGUCGAGCGAAUGGAUUAAGAGCUUGCUCUUAUGAAGUUAGCGGCGGACGGGUGAGUAACACGUGGGUAACCUGCCCAUAAGACUGGGAUAACUCCGGGAAACCGGGGCUAAUACCGGAUAACAUUUUGAACCGCAUGGUUCGAAAUUGAAAGGCGGCUUCGGCUGUCACUUAUGGAUGGACCCGCCGCGCAUUAGCUAGUUGGUGAGGUAACGGCUCACCAAGGCAACGAUGCGUAGCCGACCUGAGAGGGUGAUCGGCUACACUGGGACUGAGACACGGCCCAGACUCCUACGGGAGGCAGCAGUAGGGAAUCUUCCGCAAUGGACGAAAGUCUGACGGAGCAACGCCGCGUGAGUGAUGAAGGCUUUCGGGUCGUAAAACUCUGUUGUUAGGGAAGAACAAGUGCUAGUUGAAUAAGCUGGCACCUUGACGGUACCUAACCAGAAAGCCACGGCCAACUACGUGCCAGCCGCCGCUGUAA
rnacentral:rRNA from 1 species